CAGCGGCUUAUUCCGCUACUGAUUUUUGUAUGAAUAUUGCUUUGACCGGCAAUGCUUGUCCACUGCGUCUGGUUUCUUAUUCUAUGACUGGGUCAGAUCCUGAAAUUCGCGUGCUUGCCAACACAAAGGUCUUCCAGGCAGACGAUUCUUCAGAGAGUCCUCGUAGUCGUCCGGUGACACUUUGCACUCAGGGAAGCCAACUUAGGAAUACAUCGGUUUAUUGUAGGACAAAGUAGCAUACAUCGACGAGCGGCGGCUGAUUAUCGGCUGGCUCCUUCCCUCUUCAUCUCUACACACUUUUUUAAGAGAUCAUCAACAAUACACGCUGUACCCGCCCCCAUUUUCUAGUCCGGUUUUUGGAACACGCAGACCAACAUCACUUAAACGAACACCACAUGGCCCUCUUACUUGAAGUUCACACGCCUCAGUGC